rnacentral:rRNA from 1 species
AGCGAACGCUGGCGGCAGGCCUAACACAUGCAAGUCGAACGAACCUUUCGGGGUUAGUGGCGGACUGGUGAGUAACACGUUGGAACGUGCCUUUAGGUUCGGAAUAACUCAGGGAAACUUGUGCUAAUACCGAAUGUGCUCUUCGGUGGGAAGAUUUAUCGCCUUUAGAGCGGCCCGCGUCUGAUUAGCUAGUUGGUUGCGGUAAUGGCUCACCAAGGCUACGAUCAGUAGCUGGUCUGAGAGGAUGAGCAGCCACAUUGGGACUGAGACACGGCCCAAACUCCUACGGGAAGCAGCAGUGGGGAAUCUUGCGCAAUGGGCGAAAGCAUGACGCAGCCAUGCCGCGUGAAUGAUGAAGGUCUUAGGAUUGUAAAAUUCUUUCACCGGGGACGAUAAUGACGGUACCAGGAGAAGAAGCCCCGGCUAACUUCGUG